rnacentral:rRNA from 1 species
UACGUAGGGUGCAAGCGUUGUCCGGAAUUAUUGGGCGUAAAGAGCUCGUAGGCGGUUCGUCGCGUCGGCUGUGAAAACCCGCAGCUCAACUGUGGGCUUGCAGCUGAUACGGGCAGGCUUGAGUUCGGUAGGGGAGACUGGAAUUCCUGGUGUAGCGGUGAAAUGCGUAGAUAUCAGGAGGAACACCGGUGGCGAAGGCGGUCGA